AAUCAACGCUGGCGGCGUGCCUAACACAUGCAAGUCGAACGAGAAAGUGGAGCAAUCCAUGAGUACAGUGGCGACCGGGUGAGUAACACGUGAUUAACCUACCUUCGAGUGGGGGAUAACGCCGGGAAACCGGCGCUAAUACCGCAUAACAUCGCUUGGUGAAAUUCCUUGCGAUCAAAGGAGCAAUUCGCUUGAAGAGGGAGUCGCGUCUGAUUAGCUAGUUGGUGAGGUAACGGCCCACCAAGGCGAUGAUCAGUAGCCGGCCUGAGAGGGCGCACGGCCACACUGGAACUGAAACACGGUCCAGACUCCUACGGGAGGCAGCAGUGGGGAAUUUUGCGCAAUGGGGGAAACCCUGACGCAGCAACGCCGCGUGGAGGAUGAAGUCCUUUGGGAUGUAAACUCCUUUCGACCGGGAAGAUAAUGACGGUACCGGAGGAAGAAGCACCGGCUAACUCUGUGCCAGCCGCCGCGGUGACAC
rnacentral:rRNA from 1 species